CAAUGGAAAUUAUACAAAUGGACCAAUUACAUUUAAGUAUGACUUGGCUUGUAUGACUUAUAUUUCUGAAAUGAAACAUUUCUCACUACGUUAUCGUGCAGAAAGCAUAUUACAAAAGAGAAGCAGUUCAGAGACAAGCAAAUUCCACGUUAACAAGGAGACACGAGCUGAAGCCCAAACUCGCAAUGGAUAUUUUGAUGCCAAUAAUAUAUAUUAUCAUCUUCAUGAAUUUAAUUGUGCAAGAUGUUUCAAUGAGUGAUGUACCGAGCACAACAACUGCAACAAGUAAAAAUUACAUUCAGAAUGAUAAAUCAACAAAGACAAACGAAAAAAAUCAAGAUGUAAAACUUCUAGCAGUUAUCACAAUUACAGUUUUGUGUACAUUAGCCUCGGCAAUACUCUUAUAUUGUGUGCAUUGUCUGCAUUGUUGGGCAAGUUAUAAACUGAGUUUUAGCAAAGGCGCUAAAACUAUUCAACCAAACAUUACAAUACAAGACAACAGUGACCGUAUAAGCGCGGAUCUGUAUGAAAUGAUGGAUAUGUCACAUAGAUGGAAGUUAUUCUGAUACGUAAGCAUAAAUACCUUCUAUACUGAGUUCGAUUGUUCGAUAAAUUCUGAUAAAUGCUUUAUUCAGCUCGAUUCUCGACUUGAAGUUUCCCGGACAAUGCAUUUCAUGCAAUACAAAAUAUGUAUAUAAGAUAGGAUAUCUUUGGUAAAUUUAUCGCGUAGAAAAUGAUAGAGAAAUCCCUUAUUGAUUAUAAGAAGACUCAACACCGCAGAAGCAAUAUCGUGAUGAUAUGUUUACUGUGAUUGUUAACAUUAAUUAUUACAUUACUAGAUAUGUGACCAUUUUAAUUGUUCACCAGAAAUGUUCAUAAAAAAUGCUAAAUUUAAUAUUUUUCUUUUAAAUUAUUCGUGUUUUGUUUUAGUUUUAAUCGUAAUAUUUUAACUUUUCUUUAUCUAAUAACGAUGCUAGUAAUUAAAUAUUUAAAAAAUAGUAGAAAACAGACAGUUUCGAUUAAUGACUAAUGAUCGAUAAAUUAAAAUAAAAAUAUAAAGCACUUUAGCACUUUUCUGAUAAAUCUGUUGAGUAACUUCUUAUCGAAUAAUUAUUUUCACUACAUAUUAAAUUUAAUUAAUUGUUAGAAAAUGUAAAUCUUAAUUUUCAUUAGAGGCCACGUCUUUAUUAUAUAAAAUUCUUGUAAAUGCAUAACUUAACGUACUUUUCAGCUUUUAUACUUUUAUACUUUUAACUUGUUUUCAACAAAGUUUGAAUAUAAAUUUGAAAAAAAAAUUAUUAAA